CCUACGGGUGCAGCAGUAGGGAAUCUUCCACAAUGGACGAAAGUCUGAUGGAGCAACGCCGCGUGUGUGACGAAGGGUUUCGGCUCGUAAAACACUGUUGUAAGAGAAGAAUGACAUUGAGAGUAACUGUUCAGUGUGUGACGGUAUCUUACCAGAAAGGAACGGCUAAAUACGUGCCAGCAGCCGCGGUAAUACGUAUGUUCCAAGCGUUAUCCGGAUUUAUUGGGCGUAAAGCGAGCGCAGACGGUUGUUGAAGACCUAAAUGAAAGCCCAAAGCAUAAGUGUUAAAGUGCUUUGGGAACUGGCGAAGUUGAGUACAGUAGAGGAGAGUGGAACUCCAUGUGUAGCGGUGGAAUGCGUAGAUAUAUGGAAGAACACCAGUGGCGAAGGCGGCUCUCUGGACUGUGACUGACGUUGAGGCUCGAAAGUGUGGGUAGCAAACAGGAUUAGAUACCCUAGUAGUC
rnacentral:rRNA from 1 species